rnacentral:rRNA from 1 species
AUUGAACGCUGGCGGCAUGCUUUACACAUGCAAGUCGAACGGCAGCGGACCUUCGGGUGCCGGCGAGUGGCGAACGGGUGAGUAAUAUAUCGGAACGUACCUUUCAGUGGGGGAUAACGUAGCGAAAGUUACGCUAAUACCGCAUAUUCUGUGAGCAGGAAAGCAGGGGAUCGCAAGACCUUGCGCUGAUUGAGCGGCCGAUAUCAGAUUAGCUAGUUGGUGAGGUAAAGGCUCACCAAGGCGACGAUCUGUAGCGGGUCUGAGAGGAUGAUCCGCCACACUGGAACUGAGACACGGUCCAGACUCCUACGGGAGGCAGCAGUGGGGAAUUUUGGACAAUGGGCGCAAGCCUGAUCCAGCCAUGCCGCGUGAGUGAAGAAGGCC